rnacentral:rRNA from 1 species
CGGGUCUCUAGUGGCGAACGGGUGAGUAACACGUAGGGAACCUGCCCGCGCACCGGGAAUACGCUCUGGAAACGGAGAACAAAUCCCGAUGUACAGGAAGGAGGCAUCUUCUUUCUGUGAAACAUCCUUUAGGGGAUGGGGCGCGGAUGGACCUGCGGUGCAUUAGUUUGUUGGCGGGGUAAAGGCCCACCAAGACGAUGAUGCAUAGCCGGCCUGAGAGGGCGGACGGCCACAUUGGGACUGAGACACGGCCCAGACUCCUGCGGGAGGCAGCAGUAGGGAAUUUUCGUCAAUGGGCGCAAGCCUGAACGAGCGAUGCCGCGUGAGUGAAGAAGGCCUUCGGGUCGUAAAGCUCUGUUGCGGGGGAAAAAAGGCAGCAUCAGGAAAUGGGUGCUGACUGAUGGUGCCCCGCCAGAAAGUCACGGCUAACUACGUGCCAGCAGCCGCGGUAAUACGUAGGUGGCGAGCGUUAUCCGGAAUGAUUGGGCGUAAAGGGUGCGCAGGCGGUCCUGCAAGCCUGGAGUGAAACGCAUGAGCUCAACUCAUGCAUGGCUUUGGAAACUGGAGGACUGGAGAGCAGGAGAGGGCGGUGGAACUCCAUGUGUAGCGGUAAAAUGCGUAGAUAUAUGGAAGAACACCAGUGGCGAAUGCGGCCGCCUGGCCUGU